UACGUAGGGGGCUAGCGUUGUCCGGAUUUAUUGGGCGUAAAGAGCGUGUAGGCGGCUUGGCAAGUCUGCUGUGAAAACUCGAGGCUCAACCUCGAGCUGUCGGUGGAAACUGCCUGGCUAGAGUCCGGAAGAGGAGAGUGGAAUUCCUGGUGUAGCGGUGAAAUGCGCAGAUAUCAGGAAGAACACCUAUGGCGAAGGCAGCUCUCUGGGACGGUACUGACGCUGAGACGCGAAAGCGUGGGGAGCGAACAGG
rnacentral:rRNA from 1 species